rnacentral:rRNA from 1 species
CCUACGGGAGGCUGCAGUCGAGAAUCAUUCACAAUGGGGGAAACCCUGAUGGUGCGACGCCGCGUGGGGGAAUGAAGGUCUUCGGAUUGUAAACCCCUGUCAUGUGGGAGCAAAUUAAAAAGAUAGUACCACAAGAGGAAGAGACGGCUAACUCUGUGCCAGCAGCCGCGGUAAUACAGAGGUCUCAAGAGUUGUUCGGCAUCACUGGGCGUAAAGCGUGCGUAGGCUGUUUCGUAAGUCGUGUGUGAAAGGCGCGGGCUCAACCCGCGGACGGCACAUGAUACUGCGAGACUAGAGUAAUGGAGGGGGAACCGGAAUGCUCGGUGGAGCAGUGAAAUGCGGAGAUAUCGAGAGGAACACUCGUGGCGAAGGCGGGUUCCUGGACAUUAACUGACGCUGAGGCACGAAGGCCAGGGGAGCGAAAGGGAUUAGAUACCCCGGUAGUC